rnacentral:tRNA from 1 species
GUGGGUGUAGCUCAGUGGCAGAGCACAUGCUUAGCAUGCACAAGGUCCUGGGUUCAAUCCCCAGUCCCUCCA